UGACAAACCGGAGGAAGGUGGGGAUGACGUCAAAUCAUCAUGCCCCUUAUGAUUUGGGCUACACACGUGCUACAAUGGACAAUACAAAGGGCAGCGAAACCGUGAGGUCAAGCAAAUCCCAUAAAGUUGUUCUCAGUUCGGAUUGUAGUCUGCAACUCGACUACAUGAAGCUGGAAUCGCUAGUAAUCGUAGAUCAGCAUGCUAC
rnacentral:rRNA from 1 species